rnacentral:rRNA from 1 species
UACGUAGGUCGCAAGCGUUGUCCGGAUUUACUGGGCGUAAAGAGCGCGCAGGCGGCUGGUCAAGUCCGAUGUGAAAUCUCCCGGCUCAACUGGGAAACUGCAUCGGAAACUGAUCGGCUUGAAGGUGGGAGAGGGUAGUGGAAUUCCCGGUGUAGUGGUGAAAUGCGUAGAUAUCGGGAGGAACACCAGUGGCGAAGGCGGUUCUCUGGGAAUGACCUGACGCUGAGGAGCGAAAGUGUGGGGAGCGAACAGG